ACGAACGCUGGCGGCAGGCCUAAAACAUGCAAGUCGAACGCUCUAGCAAUAGAGAGUGGCGCACGGGUGCGUAACACGUGGGAAUAUGCCUUUUGGUACGGAACAACGUCUGGAAACGGACGCUAAUACCGUAUGGUCCCUUCGGGGUAAAGAUUUAUCGCCAAAAGAGUAGCCCGCGCUGGAUUAGCUAGUUGGUGAGGUAAUGGCUCACCAAGGCGACGAUCCAUAGCUGGUCUGAGAGGACGAUCAGCCACACUGGGACUGAGACACGGCCCAGACUCCUACGGGAGGCAGCAGUUAGGAAUAUUGGACAAUGGGCGAAAGCCUGAUCCAGCAAUGCCGCGUGAGUGAUGAAGGCCUUAGGGUUGUAAAGCUCUUUUACCCGGGAUGAUAGUGACAGUACCGGGAGAAUAAGCUCCGGCUAACUCCGU
rnacentral:rRNA from 1 species